AGUCACUGACAUUAGAUACCCCUGUAGUCCAGGGUGUAAACGCCGCAGACUUGGUGUUGGAAAUCCUUCGAGGGUAUUCAGUGCCGGAGAGAAGUUGUUAAGUCUGCUACUUGGGGAGUACGUCCGCAAGGAUGAAACUUAAAGGAAUUGGCGGGGGAGCACCGCAACGGGAGGAGCGUGCGGUUUAAUUGGAUUCAACACCGUAAAACUCACCAGGGAAGACUGUUACAUGAAGGCCGAGAUGAAGACUCUGCUAGAUUUUCAG
rnacentral:rRNA from 1 species